rnacentral:lncRNA from 1 species
GUCACUGUCCACUUCAUCAAUUGAAUAUCAAGAAUGCCUUAGGGACAAAUAAUAAAAAAAAAAAGCUUAGGGUUCACUUGUUUUACCAAUUUACGAUUUUAGGGAUUGAUAUGCAUUAGAAAUUACUAGGUAAAUGAAGGAAGAUAAGGAUUACUUACCAGAUGAAGAGAUUGUCAAAGACACCACCUUAACCAACCACAAGAGCGAACUUCAUCACCUCAACUACGAACUCUACCACCGAACCACACAAAGGAUGAAACAAAGCACACAAUGAGGGCAAUGAUGGAGGCCGAAAGAAAGUGUUUCGUGAACAAGUAGCAACUUCGUGAACAAAUUAAGGAGGUCGACAAAGGAGAACGCUUCAUCGUUGAGACAAAAAAGGGAAGGAAAUGAAAUGAGUAAAAAUGGGAAAGAGGGUUUCAUAAAAUCGAAGUUGUGUUUUUUUUUUAAUAAAAUCUUUUCGAGAUGCAUAUAUAAAUUCGUAGGAAAGAUUCACUCUUAAUUACAUAUGGAUUGAACUGAUUCAAUCCUUAGAAAAUUUUCCUCCCACAACGCACGUAAGUUACAUACAGAAUAUCGAAAAAUAAAAAUCAAUAUGUAAAAUUCAUAUGUAAACAUGGAUAGGUAAUUGCAAUUUUUUUUAUAGUGCAAUGACUUUGAUAACCAUGAUGGCUUUCAAAAAAAAAAAUUACCUAUAAAAAUUCUCCAACACUCAAAUCAAUAAAAAAACUUUAAAAUUGUAAGAUCUUAUACCAUAUAUUUUAUAUUCAUUUGAGUAGGAUAAAUACAUACAAUAAUUUAUUUCUAAUAUAUGAUCAAACUUUAUUAUAAAAAUAUAGGAAGUUUUCACCAUUUUCGUCAUUAAUAAAGAUUAAUAUCGAAUUUUCGAUAUUGAAUAAAAAAUAAAAAUAAUCAUUUAAACUUUAAAGAGAUAAAAAGCAAAAUAUUUAACGAACCAAAAUUAAGAAAUUUACUUUACAGAAAAUCGAAACAUAUACUUAGAUCAACUGCUAUUCUUUUUUUUUUCAUAUUUUUCACGUGUUUAGAAGUCUUGGGAUUUUUAAUCAUUUCUAUCCAUAAAAACUGUUCACCUUAUCACCGUCGCACCGUCGCACCGUCGCUUAGCUCUAUAAAUGGGUUCUCGCUUCUUCUUUUAUUCACAGAAGCUUAACUGAACAGAGAAGAGAAAAGNCUUGAGAUUUGUUCCAUAGCCAACCAAAGAAAUGGCGAGUACAAAGCUUUUUGCUCUCUUCCUUCUUUCUGUCUUAACCUUCUACCCUCCUUCAACCACUGCUGCAGACCUGCAUGGUAACAUCGUUUAUAGAGUUUAUAGAAUUUUUAAACAUCAACACACUAAUUAAUUAAUUUUUACACUAAUUAAAUAAAAAUAAAAGACUUUUUUUUCUUAAACAAAAAUAUAAAAAUAAAUAAAUAACAUAACAAUUAUUAUUUAAAAAAAUAUGCACUCGAAAUACUAAUUUCUAAAAAAAACGCUAAUAACUCAAAUAUACUUUAUUUUUUUAACUCUUCUUUUCUCAUAUUUUACAAUGUCUAUUUAUUUUUUAAUUUAAAAAACUAAAACAUAUAGAGUUUGAGAUAAAAAUAAUUUCAAUUUUAUAUUAUAUUUUAAGUAAUAAAAAGCAAUUUUAUAACUUCAUGCAAAACAUAUAACAAUAAAAAAUAACACCAAACAAAAACAAAACAAAGCAAAUAAACAUUUAUUUUCUUCGAAAGUAUUCAUAACGUGCAAGUCACGGUCAUGCUAAAGCAUUACUAGUACUAUUAAUAUUUAAGAGUCAUCAAAUGAUGUUUAUUAAUGUAUGCUUUUGGUUUGAUAUAAAUGAGAUAUAUUUAACACAAGUUAAUUAAAUAUUUUAAAUAAUUCUUUCUUAUUUAUUCAUUUUAAAAUAAAACUUAGAUAUUUAAAACAGAUAUUUCAUUUGUAAAUAAUUUCUUUUGUAAAUAAUAAAGUAAAAGAAUUGGACAUUUUAAUAAUAGCUGAAAAAUAUAAUAAAAAUUUGAAACAGAUAAAUGCAAAAUAUUUUUAUCCAACCAAAAUUAAGAAAUUUAUUUUACAGAAAAUCGAAACAUAUAUCUAAACCUAAGUAUUAUUUUCCUUUUUCUCAUUUUUUUCACGUGUUUAUAGGUACCAGGAAUUUCUAGCCAUAUAAAAUGUUUACCUUAUCACCAUCCACCUCUAUAAAUGAGUUCUCCCAUCUUCUCUUAUUCACACAACCUUAGCUGAACAGAGAAGAGAAAAGCCUUGAAAUUUGUUCCAUAGCCAACCAAAGAAAUGGCGAGUACAAUGCUUUUUGCUCUCUUUCUUCUGUCUGUCCUAACCUUCUACCCUCCUUCAAUCACUGCUCAACCUGUCACGGACAUGUAUGGCAACGUCGUUACAAACGGUGGCAUAUUCCAUAUAUUGCCACCAAUUACAAUAGGCGGUGGAAUUAAACGAAUCAAAACUGGAAACGAAACGAUCCCACUCAGUGUUGCGCGAUCUCCCAUCUGGAGCGAUAAAGGCCAAAAGAUUAGAAUUUCAUCCCCCUACAAAUCCUUAUUUAUCCCUAACGGCUCUCCAGUGUCACUUGAAUUCGAACUAAUUCCUAUUCUCGGUGCCUCCCCUACUCAGUGGGUCGCUGUUGCGGGUCUGACUGAAGGAACCCUCGUUAAAGUUGGCUACGAAAAUGCAAUCACAGGUUCCUUUUCUAUUCACAGAAUCGG